ACUCCUACGGGAGGCAGCAGUGGGGAAUAUUGCACAAUGGGGGAAACCCUGAUGCAGCCAUGCCGCGUGUGUGAAGAAGGCCUUCGGGUUGUAAAGCACUUUCAGUUGUGAGGAAGGUGGUGUCGUUAAUAGCGGCAUCAUUUGACGUUAGCAACAGAAGAAGCACCGGCUAACUCCGUGCCAGCAGCCGCGGUAAUACGGAGGGUGCGAGCGUUAAUCGGAAUUACUGGGCGUAAAGCGCAUGCAGGUGGUUUGUUAAGUCAGAUGUGAAAGCCCGGGGCUCAACCUCGGAACUGCAUUUGAAACUGGCAGACUAGAGUACUGUAGAGGGGGGUAGAAUUUCAGGUGUAGCGGUGAAAUGCGUAGAGAUCUGAAGGAAUACCGGUGGCGAAGGCGGCCCCCUGGACAGAUACUGACACUCAGAUGCGAAAGCGUGGGGAGCAAACAGGAUUAGAUACCCUGGUAGCACAGAGC
rnacentral:rRNA from 1 species